rnacentral:misc_RNA from 1 species
UUGGACACUUUUCAAACUUGAACGCAAACUGCCUGUCUCUCUUUCCAUGUUAAAGAACCGCCAAGAAAUGUGAAAGCCAGGAACAGGUGUCAUUCUGCUGCAACCAUUGAAACGGCUUCAUUUGGUACCGCAGUAGAUUUGUCGUGUUCAACGGAGAAAGAGAUUUCUAAUAACUGAGUGAUCAACGGUAAAAAAUUUUGGCAUAACAUUUCUUCAACUACUGCGCUUUUUGUAGAUAGAGGUUCCUAACUCACCGAUAAUUGAUGACAGAAUUUUUUGUUGAUAAUAAAGUUCAUGGUUAGCAU